rnacentral:rRNA from 1 species
UACAGAGGUCCCGAGCGUUGUUCGGAUUUAUUGGGCGUAAAGGGUGCGUAGGCGGCUCAGAAAAGUUGAAUGUGAAAGCCCCCGGCUCAACCGGGGAAGUGCAUCCGAAACUGGCAGGCUAGAGUACGAAAGAGGGUCGCGGAAUUCCCGGUGUAGAGGUGAAAUUCGUAGAUAUCGGGAGGAACACCGGUGGCGAAGGCGGCGACCUGGGUCGAUACUGACGCUGAGGUGCGAAAGCGUGGGGAGCAAACAGG